AUUGAACGCUGGCGGCAGGCUUAACACAUGCAAGUCAAGCGGGGGGAGGUAGCUUGCUACCUAACCUAGCGGCGGACGGGUGAGUAAUGCUUAGGAAUCUGCCUAUUAGUGGGGGACAACAUUUCGAAAGGGAUGCUAAUACCGCAUACGCCCUAAGGGGGAAAGCAGGGGAUCUUCGGACCUUGCGCUAUUGGAUGGCCUUAGUCGGAUUAGCUAGGUGGUGGGGUAAAGGCCUAACAAGGCGACGAUCUGUAGCGGGUCUGAGAGGAUGAUCCGCCACACUGGGACUGAGACACGGCCCAGACUCCUACGGGAGGCAGCAGUGGGGAAUAUUGGACAAUGGGGGGAACCCUGAUCCAGCCAUGCCGCGUGUGUGAAGAAGGCCUUUUGGUUGUAAAGCACUUUAAGCGAGGAGGAGGCUACUGGUAUUAAUACUACUGGAUAGUGGACGUUACUCGCAGAAUAAGCACCGGCUAACUCUGUGCCAGCAGCCGCGGUAAGAC
rnacentral:rRNA from 1 species